AUCAAAGGUUGUUUUCCAGGUUAAAAAAGCUCGUAGUUGGAUUUCGGGUGGGGUGGUGCGGUCCGCCUCUGGUGUGCACUGCUCUGCUCCACCUUCCUGCCGGGGACGGGCUCCUGGGCUUCACUGUCUGGGACUCGGAGUCGGCGAGGUUACUUUGAGUAAAUUAGAGUGUUCAAAGCAGGCCUACGCUCUGAAUACAUUAGCAUGGAAUAACACGAUAGGACUCUGGCCUAUCUGUUGGUCUGUGGGACCGGAGUAAUGAUUAAGAGGGGUAGUCGGGGGCAUUCGUAUUCCGUUGUCAGAGGUGAAAUUCUUGGAUUUACGGAAGACGAACAUCUGCGAAAGCAUUUGCCAAGGAUACUUUCAUUGAUCAAGAACGAAAGUUGGGGGCUCGAAGA
rnacentral:rRNA from 1 species